UCCUCUCAGGUUUAUAUGGACUAAAGAGCUGGGUCUCCUACAGGUUUAUAUGGACUAAAGAGCUGGGUCUCCUACAGGUUUAUAUGGACUAAAGAGCUGGGUCUCCUACAGGUUUAUAUGGACUAAAGAGCUGGGUCUCCUACAGGUUUAUAUGGACUAAAGAGCUGAGUCUCCUACAGGUUUAUAUGGACUAAAGAGCUGGGUCUCCUACAGGUUUAUAAAGGACUAAAGAGCUGAGUCUCCUACAGGUUUAUAUGGACUAAAGAGCUGGGUCUCCUACAGGUUUAUAUGGACUAAAGAGCUGGGUCUCCUACAGGUUUAUAUGGACUAAAGAGCUGAGUCUCCUACAGGUUUAUAAAGGACUAAAGAGCUGAGUCUCCUACAGGUUUAUAAAGGACUAAAGAGCUGAGUCUCCUACAGGUUUAUAAAGGACUAAAGAGCUGAGUCUCCUACAGGUUUAUAUGGACUAAAGAGCUGAGUCUCCUACAGGUUUAUAAAGGACUAAAGAGCUGAGUCUCCUACAGGUUUAUAUGGACUAAAGAGCUGAGUCUCCUACAGGUUUAUAAAGGACUAAAGAGCUGAGUCUCCUACAGGUUUAUAAAGGACUAAAGAGCUGAGUCUCCUACAGGUUUAUAAAGGACUAAAGAGCUGGGUCUCCUACAGGUUUAUAAAGGACUAAAGAGCUGAGUCUCCUACAGGUUUAUAUGGACUAAAGAGCUGAGUCUCCUACAGGUUUAUAUGGACUAAAGAGCUGAGUCUCCUACAGGUUUAUAUGGACUAAAGAGCUGAGUCUCCUACAGGUUUAUAAAGGACUAAAGAGCUGAGUCUCCUACAGGUUUAUAAAGGACUAAAGAGCUGGGUCUCCUACAGGUUUAUAUGGACUAAAGAGCUGAGUCUCCUACAGGUUUAUAUGGACUAAAGAGCUGAGUCUCCUACAGGUUUAUAUGGACUAAAGAGCUGAGUCUCCUACAGGUUUAUAUGGACUAAAGAGCUGAGUCUCCUACAGGUUUAUAUGGACUAAAGAGCUGAGUCUCCUACAGGUUUAUAAAGGACUAAAGAGCUGAGUCUCCUACAGGUUUAUAAAGGACUAAAGAGCUGAGUCUCCUACAGGUUUAUAUGGACUAAAGAGCUGAGUCUCCUACAGGUUUAUAAAGGACUAAAGAGCUGAGUCUCCUACAGGUUUAUAUGGACUAAAGAGCUGAGUCUCCUACAGGUUUAUAAAGGACUAAAGAGCUGAGUCUCCUACAGGUUUAUAUGGACUAAAGAGCUGAGUCUCCUACAGGUUUAUAAAGGACUAAAGAGCUGUGUCUCCUACAGGUUUAUAUGGACUAAAGAGCUGGGUCUCCUACAGGUUUAUAAAGGACUAAAGAGCUGAGUCUCCUACAGGUUUAUAUGGACUAAAGAGCUGAGUCUCCUACAGGUUUAUAUGGACUAAAGAGCUGGGUCUCCUACAGGUUUAUAUGGACUAAAGAGCUGAGUCUCCUACAGGUUUAUAUGGACUAAAGAGCUGGGUCUCCUACAGGUUUAUAUGUACUAAAGAGCUGGGUCUCCUACAGGUUUAUAAAGGACCAAAGAGCUAAGUCUCCUACAGGUUUAUAAAGGACUAAAGAGCUGGGUCUCCUACAGGUUUAUAAAGGACUAAAGAGCUGGGUCUCCUACAGGUUUAUAAAGGACUAAAGAGCUGAGUCUCCUACAGGUUUAUAUGGACUAAAGGUUUAUAUGGACUAAAGAGCUAAGUCUCCUACAGGUUUAUAAAGGACUAAAGAGCUGGGUCUCCUACAGGUUUAUAAAGGACUAAAGAGCUGAGUCUCCUACAGGUUUAUAUGGACUAAAGAGCUGAGUCUCCUACAGGUUUAUAAAGGACUAAAGAGCUGAGUCUCCUACAGGUUUAUAUGGACUAAAGAGCUGAGUCUCCUACAGGUUUAUAUGGACUAAAGAGCUGAGUCUCCUACAGGUUUAUAUGGACUAAAGAGCUGAGUCUCCUACAGGUUUAUAAAGGACUAAAGAGCUGGGUCUCCUACAGGUUUAUAUGGACUAAAGAGCUGGGUCUCCUACAGGAUAUAAAUGUGAUACAGGUAUCGUCCCGGGCCCCAGUAUAGGGUGACAUUUGGGGCCCCAGCGUUAGUCUUUAAUGUGUUCAUAAGUGUUUGAGGACUUCGUUGAGGACUUCGUUCUGUGUGAUUUACAGCCUGUUGUUCCAGAGGCUGUGCUUAGGACAAUAACAUCCUUCCCCUCUUGUCAUCGCCACGGUGACUACAAAGUGUUUUGUAUCCAUGGGGAUAUUCCACUCUCUAACAUAACCUGCUGCUCUCUGUGUGUGAGUGUGUGUGUGUGUGUGUGUGUGUGUGUGUGUGUGUGUGUGUGUGUGUGUGUGUGUGUGUGUGUGUGUGUGUGUGUGUGUGUGUGUGUGGUGU